GACGAACGCUGGCGGCGUGCCUAAUACAUGCAAGUAGAACGCUGAAGGAGGAGCUUGCUCUUCUGGAUGAGUUGCGAACGGGUGAGUAACGCGUAGGUAACCUGCCUGGUAGCGGGGGAUAACUAUUGGAAACGAUAGCUAAUACCGCAUAACAGUAGAUGUUGCAUGACAUUUACUUAAAAGGUGCAAUUGCAUCACUACCAGAUGGACCUGCGUUGUAUUAGCUAGUUGGUGGGGUAACGGCUCACCAAGGCGACGAUACAUAGCCGACCUGAGAGGGUGAUCGGCCACACUGGGACUGAGACACGGCCCAGACUCCUACGGGAGGCAGCAGUAGGGAAUCUUCGGCAAUGGACGGAAGUCUGACCGAGCAACGCCGCGUGAGUGAAGAAGGGUUUCGGAUCGUAAAGAUCUGUUGUAAGAGAAGAACGAGUGUGAGAGUGGAAAGUUCACACUGUGACGGUAUCUUACCAGAAAGGGACGGCUAACUACGUG
rnacentral:rRNA from 1 species